rnacentral:rRNA from 1 species
UGCUCAGUAACACGUGGAUAACCUACCCUCAGGAGGGGGAUAACCCCGGGAAACUGGGGAUAAUACCCCAUAGAUCAGGGACGCUGGAAUGCCCCCUGAUCCAAAGGUCCGCCGCCUGAGGAUGGGUCUGCGGCCGAUUAGGUUGUUGUUGGGGUAACGGCCCAACAAGCCAUUGAUCGGUACGGGUUGUGAGAGCAAGAGCCCGGAGAUGGAUUCUGAGACACGAAUCCAGGCCCUACGGGGCGCAGCAGGCGCGAAAACUUUACAAUGCGAGAAGUCGUAACAAGGGAACCCGAGUGCCCGUAAAUUCGGGCUGUCCGCCAGUGUAAAUAACUGGUGAUGAAAGGCCGGGCAAGACCCUGCCAGCCGCCGCGGUAAUACCGGCGGCUCG